rnacentral:rRNA from 1 species
GACGAACGCUGGCGGCGUGCUCAACACAUGCAAGUCGAGCGGUAAGGCCCUUUCGGGGGUACACGAGCGGCGAACGGGUGAGUAACACGUGGGUGACCUGCCCUCAGCUCUGGGAUAAGCCUGGGAAACCGGGUCUAAUACUGGAUAUGACUCCAUGACGCAUGUUGUGGGGUGGAAAGCCUUGUGCGGCUGAGGAUGGGCCCGCGGCCUAUCAGCUUGUUGGUGGGGUGAUGGCCUACCAAGGCGACGACGGGUAGCCGGCCUGAGAGGGCGACCGGCCACACUGGGACUGAGACACGGCCCAGACUCCUACGGGAGGCAGCAGUGGGGAAUCUUGCGCAAUGGGCGAAAGCCUGACGCAGCGACGCCGCGUGAGGGAUGACGGCCU